AACGAACGCUGGCGGCGCGUCUUAAGCAUGCAAGUCGAACGGUAAGGGGGAGCUUGCUCUCCCCUAGAGUGGCGGACUGGUGAGUAACGCGUGGGUGACCUGCCCUGAAGAUGGGGAUAGCUAGUAGAAAUAUUAGAUAAUACCGAAUGUGCUCAUUUACAUAAAGGUAAAUGAGGAAAGGAGCUACGGCUCCGCUUCAGGAUGGGCCCGCGUCCCAUUAGCUGGUUGGUGAGGUAAAGGCCCACCAAGGCAACGAUGGGUAUCCGGCCUGAGAGGGUGAACGGACACAUUGGGACUGAGAUACGGCCCAAACUCCUACGGGAGGCAGCAGCUAAGAAUCUUCCGCAAUGGACGAAAGUCUGACGGAGCGACGCCGUGUGAAUGAAGAAGGCCGAAAGGUUGUAAAAUUCUUUUGCAGAUGAAGAAUAAGAAGAAGAGGGAAUGCUUCUUUGAUGACGGUAGUCAUGCGAAUAAGCCCCGGCUAAUUACGUGCCAGCAGCCGCGGUAACACGUAAGGGGCGAGCGUUGUUCGGAAUUAUUGGGCGUAAAGGGUAUGUAGGCGGUUAGGUAAGCCUGGUGUGAAAUCUACGAGCUCAACUCGUAAACUGCAUUGGGUACUGCUUGACUUGAAUCACGGAGGGGAAACCGGAAUUCCAAGUGUAGGGGUGGAAUCUGUAGAUAUUUGGAAGAACACCGGUGGCGAAGGCGGGUUUCUGGCCGAUGAUUGACGCUGAUAUACGAAGGUGCGGGGAGCAAACAGG
rnacentral:rRNA from 1 species